AUGUCCGUAAGUUCAUCAUCAUUUUUCUUGACGAUAUCUUGGUCUUCAGCUGUGAUCUACAGGAACAUGAACAACACUUGCGCCUCACACUUGACCUGCUACGCGAACACCAACUGUUUGCCAAGGCGUCCAAGUGUUCAUUCGCCCAGGAAAGCAUUGAGUACUUGGGCCACGCCAUUUCACUGGACGGCGUCGCCACGGACACAAGCAAGACGAGCGCGAUGCAGGCGUGGCCGGUGCCCUCUACACCCACUGAACUGCGUGGUUUUCUUGGCCUCACCGGCUACUACCGCAAGUUUGUCCCACAUUAUGGCAUCAUCGCGAAGCCGCUCACCCAGCUCCUGA
rnacentral:rRNA from 1 species